UAUUAUUGAUGAUGUCAUUAACAUUGAUGAUGUCAUCGCGGUGUGCUUGUUUCUCUGCAGAAAGCAGUAAAGACUCCAAACCGGCAGUGAAGAGACUCGGAGCGUCUCCUGACUUUAAACCUGGUGGACCAAAGAAGUUCAGGACGGACCAAUAGGAGCCCACAUCCAGUCGAGGCCUGUGAUUGGUCACUGUUGUCUUAGGCCCCGCCCUGCAGCGUGUUGACAAGGAGGCGGGGCUCUGACAGCUUCCUGUCCCACAGGAAACACAAAAUAAAAGACUUGUAGGAUAUUUGUUCAUUAUUGACCAAUCAGAAUCAGUUCUUUGGUUGUCAUGGAGACGAGGAGGGGCGGAGUCAGCAGUUCAAAGGUCAUGUGAUCUGGGGACAGGUCAAAGCUGUAAAUACUUUUCUUUGUUUUUUUAUCAGCUGAUUUCUUCUGUGGUUGGUUUGUGGAGCGAUGAGCUCUCCCAUUGGUCGCUUUGUCAGCUGACUGUUUGUGAAUAUUCUCUAAACAAUAAAGAUUUUUUAGAACAUUUUAUA